UACGUAGGGAGCGAGCGUUGUCCGGAUUCAUUGGGCGUAAAGAGCUCGUAGGCGGCUUGGUAAGUCGGAUGUGAAACCUCCAGGCUCAACCUGGAGUCGCCAUCCGAUACUGCCAUGGCUAGAGUCCGGUAGGGGCCCACGGAAUUCCUGGUGUAGCGGUGAAAUGCGCAGAUAUCAGGAGAACACCGAUGGCGAAGGCAGUGGGCUGGGCCGGCACUGACGCUGAGGAGCGAAAGCGUGGGGAGCGAACAGG
rnacentral:rRNA from 1 species